CAUGCAGUCGAGCGGCAGCACAGGAGAGCUUGCUCUCUGGGUGGCGAGUGGCGGACGGGUGAGGAAUACAUCGGAAUCUACUUUUUCGUGGGGGAUAACGUAGGGAAACUUACGCUAAUACCGCAUACGACCUACGGGUGAAAGCAGGGGAUCUUCGGACCUUGCGCGAUUGAAUGAGCCGAUGUCGGAUUAUCUAGUUGGCGGGGUAAAGGCCCACCAAGGCGACGAUCCGUAGCUGGUCUGAGAGGAUGAUCACCCACACUGGAACUGAGACACGGCCCAGACUCCUACGGGAGGCAGCAGUGGGGAAUAUUGGACAAUGGGCGCAACCCUGAUCCACCCAUACCGCGUGGGUGAAGAAGGCCUUCGGGUUGUAAAGCCCUUUUGUUGGGAAAGAAAUCCAUCUGGCUAAUACCCGGUUGGGAUGACGGUACCCAAAGAAUAAGCACCGGCUAACUUCGUGCCACCAGCCGCGGUAAUACGAAGGGUGCAAGCGUUACUCGGAAUUACUGGGCGUAAAGCGUGCGUAGGUGGUCGUUUAAGUCCGUUGUGAAAGCCCUGGGCUCAACCUGGGAACUGCAGUGGAUACUGGGCGACUAGAGUGUGGUAGAGGGUAGCGGAAUUCCUGGUGUAGCAGUGAAAUGCGUAGAGAUCAGGAGGAACAUCCAUGGCGAAGGCAGCUACCUGGACCAACACUGACACUGAGGCACGAAAGCGUGGGGAGCAAACAGGAUUAUAUACCCUGGUAGUCCACGCCCUAAACGAUGCAAACUGGAUGUUGGGUGCAAUUUGACACGCAGUAUCAAAGCUAACGCUUUAAGUUCCCCGCCUGGGGAGUACGGUCGCAAGACUGAAACUCAAAGGAAUUGACGGGGGCCCGCACAAGCGGUGGAGUAUGUGUUUUAAUUCUAUGCAACGCAAAAAACCUUACCUGGCCUUGA
rnacentral:rRNA from 1 species